UACGGAGGGUGCAAGCGUUAAUCGGAAUUACUGGGCGUAAAGCGCGCGUAGGUGGUUUGGUAAGCGAGAUGUGAAAGCCCCGGGCUUAACCUGGGAACGGCAUUUCGAACUGCCAGACUAGAGUGUGGUAGAGGGUAGUGGAAUUUCCUGUGUAGCGGUGAAAUGCGUAGAUAUAGGAAGGAACACCAGUGGCGAAGGCGGCUACCUGGACCAACACUGACACUGAGGUGCGAAAGCGUGGGGAGCAAACAGGAUUAGAUACCCGGGUAGUCCCUGAG
rnacentral:rRNA from 1 species